AACAAACGGCCCUUUUCAGGGCCACCAAUUUAAUUUUGGAAAAAAGGAAUUUGCUAAGUGCUUUAUUUCGAACUUAGUUUAUUACGCACUUUAUUUUAAUCUAGUUGUGGAAAUGAUAACGUGCAUGUUGUCUGAUUCGCAAGUGGGUACGCUUGAAUUGUGUUUGCUUCAACCUAAUUCUUGGUAUAUGAAAUGAAUGGUAUAUGGCAGUACUCCUACAAACAAAAGUUGUUAAUUAAUUACUUCAAUUUUUUAAACCAUUUCUCUUUUGAACUUACCACUGCCCUAUAACUUUCUCCUGAUGUCACGAAUGGGACAAUAAGUUAUGUGGCGAGGAUCUACGUUGAUUUUGUACACUUUAUUAGCGAGUUAUUGAACGUCACAUGCCUUAUUUUAAUAAAUGAACACCAAUCACAAACAGCUCUUCGAGGUUUGCUGUCAUUUAAGUUCGUCCCCAUUUAAAAAUUUAAAAAGUAAUUAGGUGAAUAAACUCCGUUUGGUAUCGUUUGAUGUCGCUAAAAUCGCAUUGUGUUGUUAUCAUGUCGAAAGUUCGUGCUGCUUUCUUUUUCUGUUUUGCCCUUUGUUUUUGGAAUAAAUUCAACACCAUAUUAAAUAUUGUGAGCUUUCAACAAUGUCAGGUUUUCUCACCAUACUACAAAUAAUGACUGAACUGUUUUCCAUCUAUCUGAUCAAUCCUUCUGAUCCUUCUACUGUGAAAAUCAUCUUUACUUAUCAGAUGUUUGAAUGAGAUACAGAAACAGGUGCCUUCAGCAGUGUGGAGUUAAAUUGCUGUUACACUGUGCUGUUUUUCUUGAUCACUUGAAGCAACUUGACACUAAAAGAGAAAUAUGCCGAUGUCUACACAAAUAGCAUCCACAUAUUCUUCUUUAUUAAUCCGCAGCCCUAAUGGGAUAUGUGAGCAGGAGAGCACCUCCCUGGAGUUACCCUAGCCCUGUAAUGGAUCAAGGACUGACGCCGAUUAUCACCUUCAGAUCUGCAGAUUGAAGCUGUUUGUGGCGCGUUGCUUGAUUCUUGGUGACGACGGGAUGAUCGUAAUUUGAGUUCUAUCUACAUACGGGCCGGCCAGUUUGUUUGUCCUUCACGCUUGAAGGUUGCGGGGAACAUAACGUGUAAAACUGUCAAUGCGGUGAUGUAGAGGUUGGGUGAGAAUUGGACGAGUUGAAUCAUUAUCAAGCAGG